GGAGGAACGCUCUGUAUUUGUUGCUCUGUGGAUCGUCAUGUUCCUUGCAGGGAAUAUAGCAUAUAUCUACUACACAUUUAGUCAUGAAGAGCUGCACAACAGGAAUUGUUCCUGUUCUUGUCUGGUCUUGUCCUCCUCAUUUUCUCCAAGCCCAACCUCAACAGCUUAGACUUCUUUGAUCUGAUCUGGGCAGUGGGCAUCAAUGACUUUGUCCUUAAGUACUUUACCAUUGGCCUGAAAUGCUUUGUCCUCUUUUUGCCCAAGAUUCUCCUGGCCUUCAAAUCCAGGGUAAGAAAUCCACAUUCAUUCCUCUGACCUGGAAAAUGUGACUUUUAUUAACUAUUUCAUGGGACACACUUACACUGUAUCCAUAAAUGACAAUUAUAAAAUAAAACCGUGCAUUUAAUGAUCUUAACAUACAGUUAUAAUGUAAUAAUAUGUAGUGCUAAAAUGAUUGAGAUUUGCGCUGUUAGCUGUUUUAUAUCACUGUAAAGAGAAUUUCUUUGAGUUUUGGACUGUUGUAACAGUAACAAAAUACAGAGUCCAAGAUAAUACCUUGUGCUCUGUGAAAGUCUGAUUUUAUAGACAUUUUAAAGAUGACAAACAAUUUAAAUAAUAAUUGUUAUAUUCAGUUCAUAAUAAAGAGGGUUAUAAAUUAAAGCCCUAAUUAUAUGCAUUUGGUGCUUGUCCAAACUACAAUAAAUGUGCUGCUUUUGCCCAA